rfam:Gavia stellata contig9603, whole genome shotgun sequence.
UCAAAGGCUCUUUUAAGAGCCACCCACCUUUUCAAUGAAGGGGCUG